rnacentral:rRNA from 1 species
UACGGAGGGUGCGAGCGUUGUCCGGAAUCACUGGGCGUAAAGGGCGCGUAGGCGGCUCAUGAAGGCUGUGGUGAAAGUCCGGGGCUCAACCUCGGAUCGGCCGUGGCGACUCGUGGGCUGGAGCACUGUAGAGGGGGGUGGAAUUCCCGGUGUAGUGGUGAAAUGCGUAGAGAUCGGGAGGAACACCUGUGGCGAAGGCGGCCCCCUGGGCCGGCCCUGACACUGAGACGCGAAGGCGUGGGGAGCGAACGGG